rnacentral:rRNA from 1 species
CACGCCGUAAACGAUGAGUGCUAGUUGUUUGGGGCUAUCCAGCCCUAAGUGACGCAGCAAACGCAUUAAGCACUCCGCCUGGGGAGUACGACCGCAAGGUUGAAACUCAAAGGAAUUGACGGGGGCCCGCACAAGCGGUGGAGCAUGUGGUUUAAUUCGAAGCAACGCGAAGAACCUUACCAGGUCUUGACAUACCAGUGCUAUUCUUAGAGAUAAGAAGUUACUUCGGUACACUGGAUACAGGUGG